GUCGAGCGGACAGAAGGGAGCUUGCUCCCGGAUGUUAGCGGCGGACGGGUGAGUAACACGUGGGUAACCUGCCUGUAAGACUGGGAUAACUCCGGGAAACCGGAGCUAAUACCGGAUAGUUCCUUGAACCGCAUGGUUCAAGGAUGAAAGACGGUUUCGGCUGUCACUUACAGAUGGACCCGCGGCGCAUUAGCUAGUUGGUGGGGUAAUGGCUCACCAAGGCGACGAUGCGUAGCCGACCUGAGAGGGUGAUCGGCCACACUGGGACUGAGACACGGCCCAGACUCCUACGGGAGGCAGCAGUAGGGAAUCUUCCGCAAUGGACGAAAGUCUGACGGAGCAACGCCGCGUGAGUGAUGAAGGUUUUCGGAUCGUAAAGCUCUGUUGUUAGGGAAGAACAAGUGCGAGAGUAACUGCUCGCACCUUGACGGUACCUAACCAGAAAGCCACGGCUAACUACGUGCCAGCAGCCGCGGUAAUACGUAGGUGGCAAGCGUUGUCCGGAAUUAUUGGGCGUAAAGGGCUCGCAGGCGGUUUCUUAAGUCUGAUGUGAAAGCCCCCGGCUCAACCGGGGAGGGUCAUUGGAAACUGGGAAACUUGAGUGCAGAAGAGGAGAGUGGAAUUCCACGUGUAGCGGUGAAAUGCGUAGAGAUGUGGAGGAACACCAGUGGCGAAGGCGACUCUCUGGUCUGUAACUGACGCUGAGGAGCGAAAGCGUGGGGAGCGAACAGGAUUAGAUACCCUGGUAGUCCACGCCGUAAACGAUGAGUGCUAAGUGUUAGGGGGGUUUCCGCCCCUUAGUGCUGCAGCUAACGCAUUAAGCACUCCGCCUGGGGAGUACGGUCGCAAGACUGAAACUCAAAGGAAUUGACGGGGGCCCGCACAAGCGGUGGAGCA
rnacentral:rRNA from 1 species